AGAGAUGCUUUGGUGCCUUCGGGAACUCUGAGACAGGUGCUGCAUGGCUGUCGUCAGCUCGUGUUGUGAAAUGUUGGGUUAAGUCCCGCAACGAGCGCAACCCUUAUCCUUUGUUGCCAGCGGUUAGGCCGGGAACUCAAAGGAGACUGCCAGUGAUAAACUGGAGGAAGGUGGGGAUGACGUCAAGUCAUCAUGGCCCUUACGAGUAGGGCUACACACGUGCUACAAUGGCGCAUACAAAGAGAAGCGACCUCGCGAGAGCAAGCGGACCUCAUAAAGUGCGUCGUAGUCCGGAUUGGAGUCUGCAACUCGACUCCAUGAAGUCGGAAUCGCUAGUAAUCGUAGAUCAGAAUGCUACGGUGAAUACGUUCCCGGG
rnacentral:rRNA from 1 species